GUACUGGAAGACUGCUGCAAGGUCUCCUUGGAACCUUCUCAUGGCUGAACAACCCCAGCUCUCUCAGCCUCUCUUCACAGGCUGCUCCAGCCCCUUGAUCAUCUUUGUGGCCCUCCUCUGGACCCACUCCAACAGGUCCACAUCUUUCUUGUGCUAGGGGCUCCAGGGCUGACUGCAGUGCUCCAGGCCAGGUCUCAUAAGAGCGGAGUAGAGCAGGAGAAUCGUUUCCCUUGACCUGCUGGCCAUACUUCUUUUGAUGCAGCCCAUGAUACAUCUGGAUUUGUGGACUGCAAGCACAGCUCAUGUUCAGUUUUUAAUACUUGAACACCCCCAGGUCCUUCUCUUUUCUCACAUUUCUUUCUUUCAGAUUGAAGGAGAGAAAACAUUUUGAGUGAUAGAGUCCUGUACAUCAUUUUGAGGAAUAAAUAGAAAAAUUCCAGUGCCAAGAAUGGAUCUGUAUCAUUUGAACUACUGAAGAUACAAAAGAACAUUAACUAGGAAGAAGAUGGCUCUGUGCUGAUCUGGAGAAGGCAGGAGCGAUUAGUUGGCAUGCUGUUCAUGGCCAUUGUGGAACUCUUCCAAGGCCCUUUUUUAAAAAUAACUUAGAAUAGAGUUUGGCAUUUUAGCAUGAACACUAAAUUAAAAAAUAUAACUGACUGAGUAGACCUAUUCAGAUUGAUAUUAUCUUGUUGGAUCUUGGUACUGUUUCGUUGAAAAGCAAUUUAUUGAGCUAAAGAGAACUAGUUUAAAUGAAAGUUUAACUCUCUUGGGCUCAGCGAGGGUGUUCUGUACUGCUUCAGAAACAAAGCCCCAGUACUCGGACUCAAUUUUUAAUUUUCUGAUAUCACACGGUUGUAUUUCAGACGUUUGAAAUCUGUCUUGAUCAUUGCUGUGAACUUGAGUACCUUUUGAGUAAUUAAUGUGCUAGAACAAGCAUACCAAGCUAGAGAACAAAUGUAAAGGAGGCCGUAAUCAGCUGAUCAAUGUGGGAAGCCAAAAGUCAUUGGUAAUGUAACUUUGACAUUAAAGUAAGAAGUUCUCUACUUAAUCUAUUCUCCUGUUAAAUCUUUAGCUCUAGGUUUUUUCAGUAAAUCAUCUUUAAAGCUAUUUAACAAGUCUCUACAGAUGAAGUGAGCCAAGUGGGUGAAUGUAACUUGUAUUUAUAAAGAUGAGAUCCAGAUGGCAAAACAUGGAAAUGGGAACCUAGUGGGCUAUGACAGCAUAAAAUUUGUUAAGACAGAGAUGGAGGAAAGCAAUGGGAGUUUACUUUCCCAUUAGCACACAUUCUAGGACAGCUAAGGUUAUUUGAGACAACUUAGAAGACAAACCUAUACUGUGCCUUUUCUGACUUGAGUCAAUCUUUAUUUGUGAUGCAGAUAGUUAAAGGUACUCCAGAGAAAGGAAGUAACGCUAUUACCAAUUCAUUCCGUUUCCUACUUUCUUAGUAUUUUUUUUUACCCCCUUCCACUGGGGGGAUAUGAUAUCACUACGUAGAAGAAACAGCUGGCAGUUCUAUUUUCAGUAUCAGAUUACAUGCUCAAACAUGUCUCUGUUCUCUGCUGUGGGACUUCACUACAUCCUGUUCAUGUCUUAGUUACCAGUUGAUCAGUAGCACUCACCCAGAAUGUGGGAGACAAGUGUUUUUCCUGUACAGAGCUGUGAGUGAGAAUAUUUGUCUUUACAAAUGAGAGCCAGAAGGAGGUCAGUGGGUCCCCACCACCAAUCUGUAUUACAAUGGCUAGUUUUAACUAGAGAUGUGUUAUGCCUGGAUUUAAUUCCCAUGCCUCUCUGUGCAUGUUCACCUGUGUGCCAGGCCUUAACAUGUUACCUAUAUAGUCCAUUUAUCAAACAUCUGUUUAGUAUUGAUUAUAUUCAGUGGAAGAUUGUAUUCACUGGAACUGAGAAGGUGUCAUGUAUUUUCUUUGCUUAGGUGAGUAGCUGGGAAUGAGUUAAGCUUAUUCUCCAUCUCUCUUCUAAGAGAAUAGUUACCUGUUGCAGUUGAAGUAGAGGAGACAGAGUAUCUUGCCUCAGACUACUGAUAAAUGGUUUGAAUAAACUCCUGCGCAUGUGGGAUACAGACUUGCACCCUCUCAGGCAGAUUAAAAAAAAAAAAAAAUCCUCUCUGGAUUAAAAAAAAUAAAUGUUAGCAGUAACUGUGGUUUGGAUCUAGUAAGGCCCCUUACUCCUCAGGGCAUAGCUGACUGACAACCUUAGAUUACCUAAGGGUGAUUAAGAUAGCUUUUGUGAGUUUGAUUUGAAGUACAGAAAUUGCACUCUUUUGUUAUGCAUGUGAGGGCUGCAGAUGCUGCCUUGGUGUGGAGGCACCUGAUUUUCUUUCCUUUUUUUUUUUUUUUUUUUUUUUUUUUGUGGCUUUUUCUGUAAAUCCAUAGGUUCCUAUGAAAAUGCAAGCAAAAGUUGCUUGUUCCUUAUUAACUUAAGUUCUCAAAAAAAGUUGUGUAUUGAGUGUUACACAUUAUUGUUGGAUCACGAAUUGCUAGCGAUGAGGAAGUUAGAUGCCUGAGAACAAAGCCAAUGAGACUUUGUAACCUAGGCCUUAAAACAUAGUGAAGACAGUCAAAAUAGGCCAGAGUACACUUACAACUUUUCCACUACUUCAUGGGGCCGGUAUUUUGUGGUUGGAGGAUAUGUUGCACAGGGUUCUGCAAAGCCCUUAUUGUUUUAAAUUAAACGCAACACGAAGGAGUAAUAAUCUAAUACUCUGAUACUGAUACUCAGAAGAAAACUGCAGAAGAUUUAUUAAUAGAUUGCUUGUGCUCUCCUGAUGUAGUUGAAGGUGUUUGUCAGAGCAUAUACAAUAGACAUCAAACGUUGUAUUGUAGUUUGAAUUAAAUAGGCCAUCAAGUCCAUCCAGGAGUUGGACCCAAUGAUCCUUAUGGGUCCCUUCUAACCUGGGAUAUUCUAUGAUUCUAUGAGAUGCUACUGUCAUGUAUAGAGUAAGGAAUUUAUAAAAUACGACUUCUGCUGGUUCAUGACCUUUGAACUAUGCAGAACUAGAUCAGACUGCAAGGCUUACCUGCAUAGUUGAUCUUAAACUUAAAAAUCCUCCCUGUAGCAUGUUUCAGCCAAAACUAGUAUUCUAGCUUGUGAACAACCUCUGCUGCCUUAGAGCCUAUGGUUCCCACUGAUGGAUCGAAGUAGCAAGUCUGACUUCAAAGAUGGAGUUUGUUUUGUUUUAGCUUGGAAGGUUUAGGGUGAAAUUCUUAAUGUAGCCAAGGUCUUGUGGGGGGCAGCCAAAAUAAUUAUGAAUCUUGGUCACAGUACUGUGCCAAAAAUGCAAAGGCAGUGAUUUAAUACUUCCAGAGUAGUAAGAAUGGUUGAAUGCUCGACCAUCCAUCCCUUUCAUGGAUGUGAUUUUUAAUAGCUAAUCUUCAGCCCAGUUAAGGUAAGCCUAUAUUCGAGAAAGGCCUCUCCUUUAGGUUUACUUUUUCCUGAAGUUUAAGGUAGACCAAUUUGCAGGUUAAUGUGAUGCAUCAUUCUGGCAGCAAACUUAAUUUAUACUUAAAAAUAAGCUUCCCUCCAUUAUGUUUACAGUGCAGAAAUAGUAAUGGCUGACUGAUGACCUUCUGGGUGAGAACAACUGCAUCACCAUCAAUAUUUUUUUUUCCAAAUAUGCAGAAAUUAGGUUUUAUCCAUAGACCUAACUUGACUUACGCCUUGGUCCUGCACCUUUGAGAGAAAUGAAUGCUUUCUAGUAUUGAAAAGUUUACAGUCUACAUAAACACCCAAUGAGGAGCUCAGUGUUUGGAAAUGGGAGGUAUCCUUUCUUGCUAUACAUCAGAGUAUUUUUUUUUAGUUAGGUUUUACAAGUGCACAUUGCACUGUCAUCUUUCUUUCCCCAUUGGUUUGGGAAGGAAGACAAAGCUUGUUUAAAAGCGAAUUCCCUGUCCUAUUGACCAGGCAGCCUGUAGAGGAAUAAAUGGUCCCGUGACACUGUACGUCAGAUUUACGUUUAGAAAACCAUGCAGAUUUUUCUUUUUACAAGGAAAGGUUUUUAUACUGAGAAGACACUUGCAGCACAUAUGAAAUGAUGUGGAAUACCAUGGAUUAAUUUUAAGUAAUUUUCUCAGUAAUGAACCAGAUCAAAAAUGAAGCAUGGUGCUGCAAGUAUUUUUAAUAAUAAGUUGACAUAGUAUUUGGAAAUAAUGUAGUUGAUGCUUCUGUUUGUAUUUAUAAUUUAGCAUGACUCAUAACCAGAAGCCAGAACUGUCCUGGUGAAGAGAAAAGAAUGUGAUAUUAAGAUUACAAGUGCCAAGGCAGAUUUUGUAUAUCGAAAGCUGACAAAAAAGACAAUUUGCAGAAGUUUCAGUAAGUGCAUCAUUAAAUCAUCCUUGGCUCCUUCUCAAUUGUUUUCUUUAAAUGAUGCUUCUCUAAGCAAAAAUAUAAACAUGUGAAACACUGAAGGUGACUUUCUUGGAAGAACUGUUUUUUUUCCCACUAAGGAAAUAUAUAUUUUUUUUCCUGAAGAUGUCCAAUUGAUUAAUGCCAGACCACAUGGAAUUAUUAAGUGAAAUCCUCAAGAUGUUCUAUUGUUUUUAUAGCACAACUCCAUCGCCAGUGUUUUUCUGUAUGUGAAAAUAUUUGGCAGCUUUGUUGACCAGAUAGGAAACAGUAUGUGAAUUCUGUGUUUUCAUGUAAAGGCCUUUGUUUCACAUCUAAAAUUUAGGAUGUUGAUGCUCAGCUAAAAUAGUGCCUUCAUAAUUUCUGACUAGACAUACCUGUUUGGUAUUUCUGAACAUGGUUACGGCAAACUCUUGAAUUUGGUGUUAGCAGCUAUCCCCGUCACCAGCAUGCAAAUCACGUCUGCUCUGCGGGAAUUACAAGAAGGUUCCCUCUUCGUAGCAGAACCCCAUACUACAUUUGGCGUGAGCAGCACUAAGAAACAUACGUAUUGUAUAAAUUCCCUUCUUGAAGCACUACCAGUACUUUGGUUAAGCCACUGUAAAACUACUGGUAUGCAUUUGUUCAUAGUUUGGAAAAUACUGUUUUCAUUACAGUAAACCAAUAUAAACAUCAGCAAUAUUCCUAUCAAACAAAUUAGUUCUCAUGUGAAAUGUAUGGUAAGUAAAUUUGUUGUGUAGCUGAAUACAGUGUUAUUUAAUGGAACUUGAUUUGGUGCCAACCAAACAUAUGGAUCUUUAAAUGCAUUCCCCUUGUGGCUAUGUUGAAAUCAUCCACCAAUAAUGUGCUGAAUUCCCUUCCAGACUUGCAGGCUGGCUGCCCUUAUUGUAUGAGGUUUUGAAAUGCUACAAAUAGUAUUGAUGGGGAAAAAAAAAAAAAAAAAG